UACGGAGGGGGCUAGCGUUAUUCGGAAUUACUGGGCGUAAAGCGCACGUAGGCGGAUUGGAAAGUUGGAGGUGAAAUCCCAGGGCUCAACCUUGGAACUGCCCUCAAAACUCCCAGUCUUGAGGUCGAGAGAGGUAAGUGGAAUUCCGAGUGUAGAGGUGAAAUUCGUAGAUAUUCGGAGGAACACCAGUGGCGAAGGCGACUUACUGGCUCGAUACUGACGCUGAGGUGCGAAGGCGUGGGGAGCAAACAGG
rnacentral:rRNA from 1 species